rnacentral:rRNA from 1 species
UUUCGGGGUUGGUGACGGUACCUGCAGAAGAAGCGCCGGCUAACUACGUGCCAGCAGCCGCGGUAAUACGUAGGGCGCAAGCGUUAUCCGGAAUUAUUGGGCGUAAAGAGCUCGUAGGCGGUUUGUCGCGUCUGCCGUGAAAGUCCGGGGCUUAACUCCGGAUCUGCGGUGGGUACGGGCAGACUAGAGUGCAGUAGGGGAGACUGGAAUUCCUGGUGUAGCGGUGAAAUGCGCAGAUAUCAGGAGGAACACCGAUGGCGAAGGCAGGUCUCUGGGCUGUAACUGACGCUGAGGAGCGAAAGCAUGGGGAGCGAACAGGAUUAGAUACCCUGGUAGUCCAUGCCGUAAACGUUGGGCACUAGGUGUGGGGGACAUUCCACGUUUUCCGCGCCGUAGCUAACGCAUUAAGUGCCCCGCCUGGGGAGUACGGCCGCAAGGCUAAAACUCAAAGGAAUUGACGGGGGCCCGCACAAGCGGCGGAGCAUGCGGAUUAAUUCGAUGCAACGCGAAGAACCUUACCAAGGCUUGACAUGAACCGGAAUGAUGCAGAGAUGUGUCAGCCACUUGUGGCCGGUUUACAGGUGGUGCAUGGUUGUCGUCAGCUCGUGUCGUGAGAUGUUGGGUUAAGUCCCGCAACGAGCGCAACCCUCGUUCCAUGUUGCCAGCGGGUUAUGCCGGGGACUCAUGGGAGACUGCCGGGGUCAACUCGGAGGAAGGUGGGGACGACGUCAAAUCAUCAUGCCCCUUAUGUCUUGGGCUUCACGCAUGCUACAAUGGCCGGUACAAAGGGUUGCGAUACUGUGAGGUGGAGCUAAUCCCAAAAAGCCGGUCUCAGUUCGGAUUGAGGUCUGCAACUCGACCUCAUGAAGUUGGAGUCGCUAGUAAUCGCAGAUCAGCAACGCUGCGGUGAAUACGUUCCCGGGCCUUGUACACACCGCCCGUCAAGUCACGAAAGUUGGUAACACCCGAAGCCGGUGGCCU